rnacentral:rRNA from 1 species
UGAUGCGGUAGAGGAGCGUUCUGUAAGCCUGUGAAGGUGAGUUGAGAAGCUUGCUGGAGGUAUCAGAAGUGCGAAUGCUGACAUGAGUAACGACAAUGCGAGUGAAAAACUCGCACGCCGAAAGACCAAGGUUUCCUGCGCAACGUUAAUCGACGCAGGGUUAGUCGGUCCCUAAGGCGAGGCUGAAAAGCGUAGUCGAUGGAAAACAGGUUAAUAUUCCUGUACUUCCAGUUAUUGCGAUGGAGGGACGGAGAAGGUUAGGCCAGCCUGGCGUUGGUUGUCCAGGUUUAAGGUGGUAGGCUGAAAUCUUAGGCAAAUCCGGGAUUUCAAGGCCGAGAGCUGAUGACGAGUUGCCUUUAGGCGACGAAGUGGUUGAUACCAUGCUUCCAAGAAAAGCUCCUAAGCUUCAGAUAACUGGGAACCGUACCCCAAACCGACACAGGUGGUUAGGUAGAGAAUACCAAGGCGCUUGAGAGAACUCGGGUGAAGGAACUAGGCAAAAUGGCACCGUAACUUCGGGAGAAGGUGCGCCGGCGAGGGUGAAGGACUUGCUCCGUAAGCUCAUGCCGGUCGAAGAUACCAGGCCGCUGCGACUGUUUAUUAAAAACACAGCACUCUGCAAACACGAAAGUGGACGUAUAGGGUGUGACGCCUGCCCGGUGCCGGAAGGUUAAUUGAUGGGGUUAGCGCAAGCGAAGCUCUUGAUCGAAGCCCCGGUAAACGGCGGCCGUAACUAUAACGGUCCUAAGGUAGCGAAAUUCCUUGUCGGGUAAGUUCCGACCUGCACGAAUGGCGUAACGAUGGCGGCGCUGUCUCCACCCGAGACUCAGUGAAAUUGAAAUCGCUGUGAAGAUGCAGUGUAUCCGCGGCUAGACGGAAAGACCCCGUGAACCUUUACUAUAGCUUUGCACUGGACUUUGAAUUUGCUUGUGUAGGAUAGGUGGGAGGCUUUGAAGUGGGGACGCCAGUUCUCAUGGAGCCAUCCUUGAAAUACCACCCUGGCAACUUUGAGGUUCUAACUCAGGUCCGUUAUCCGGAUCGAGGACAGUGUAUGGUGGGUAGUUUGACUGGGGCGGUCUCCUCCCAAAGAGUAACGGAGGAGUACGAAGGUGCGCUCAGACCGGUCGGAAAUCGGUCGUAGAGUAUAAAGGCAAAAGCGCGCUUGACUGCGAGACAAACACGUCGAGCAGGUACGAAAGUAGGUCUUAGUGAUCCGGUGGUUCUGUAUGGAAGGGCCAUCGCUCAACGGAUAAAAGGUACUCCGGGGAUAACAGGCUGAUACCGCCCAAGAGUUCAUAUCGACGGCGGUGUUUGGCACCUCGAUGUCGGCUCAUCACAUCCUGGGGCUGAAGCCGGUCCCAAGGGUAUGGCUGUUCGCCAUUUAAAGUGGUACGCGAGCUGGGUUUAGAACGUCGUGAGACAGUUCGGUCCCUAUCUGCCGUGGACGUUUGAGAUUUGAGAGGGGCUGCUCCUAGUACGAGAGGACCGGAGUGGACGAACCUCUGGUGUUCCGGUUGUCACGCCAGUGGCAUUGCCGGGUAGCUAUGUUCGGAAGAGAUAACCGCUGAAAGCAUCUAAGCGGGAAACUUGCCUCAAGAUGAGAUCUCACUGGGAUCUUGAAUCCCCUAAAGGGCCGUCGAAGACUACGACGUUGAUAGGUUGGGUGUGUAAGCGCUGUGAGGCGUUGAGCUAACCAAUACUAAUUGCCCGUGAGGCUUGACCAU